AUGAGGAGUGGGUUGGGAGAAAACCAUCACUUUCUUAUUUGCGCACUUGGGGAUGUUUGGCAAAGGUCAAUAUUCAAUAUUCCUAUUCCUAAGAAACGCAAACUUGGACCAAAGAAAGUGGAUUGUGUCUUUCUAGGGUAUGCUCAACGGAGCAUUGCUUAUAGGUUUUUAGUGGUAAAAUCUGAAGUACCUGAUAUGCAUGUUGAUACUAUAAUGGAAUCUCGUGAUGCAACAUUUUUUGAGAACAUAUUUCCUAUGAAAGAUAUGCAUAGCAUUGCUAGAUUUUCUUCUGAGAUAAUUCCUGAAUCUAGUACAACUGAUGAAUAUUUCGAACAAUCACAUGAGGAAGUCCUUGAGAAGGAUAACAAUGAAGUUCCUAGAAGGAACAAGAGACAAAGGAUUGCAAAAUCCUUUGGUGAUGAUUUCAUUGUAUACCUUGUGGACGACACACCCAAGACGAUUGCAGAAGCAUAUGCAUCUCCGGAUGUAGAUGAUUGGAAAGAAGCUGUUCAUAAUGAGAUGGACUCAAUUCUUUCUAAUGGAACUUGGGAACUAACUGAUAGACCAUAUGGUUGUAAACCUGUGGGCUGUAAGUGGGUGUUCAAAAAGAAGCUAAAGCCUGAUGGUACUAUUGAUAAGUACAAGGCGCGGCUAGUGGCCAAGGGCUACACUCAGAAAGAAGGCGAAGAUUACUUUGACACCUAUUCACCCGUUGCUAGAAUGACCACCAUUCGAGUGUUACUUUCCUUGGCUGCCUCUUAUGGUCUUAUCAUUCAUCAAAUGGAUGUAAAGACAGCUUUUCUCAAUGGAGAGUUGGAAGAGGAGAUCUAUAUGGAUCAGCCUGACGGGUUUGUGGUAAAGGGUGAAGAGAGAAAGGUGUGCAAGUUGUUAAAAUCUUUGUGUGGUCUGAAACAGGCACCUAAGCAAUGGCAUGAGAAGUUUGAAAGAACUCUGACUUCUGCAGGAUUUGUCAUUAACGAGGCUCAUAGGUGUGUUUACUAUCGCCAUGGUGGGGGCAAUAGUGUCAUAUUAUGUUUGUAUGUGGACGACAUACUGAUCUUUGGUACAAACAUUAAUGCAAUUAAUGAGGUCAAGUCUUUUCUAUCAAAAAGUUUUGACAUGAAAGAUCUGGGAGAAGCCGAUGUAAUUCUAAACAUCAAACUUAUUAAGGAUGAGAGUGGGAUUACAUUAACGCAAUCUCACUAUGUUGAGAAGGUCUUGAACCGAUUCGGUUUUAUGGAUAGCAAGCCUUCUCCAACACCUUAUGAUCCCAGCGUGACACUCAGAAAGAACAAGAAAGAAACGAGAGAUCAAUUAAGAUACUCUCAAAUUGUCGGUUCACUCAUGUACUUAGCUAGCGCUACAAGACCAGAUAUCUCUUUUGCUGUGAGCAAACUGAGUAGGUUCAUGUCCAACCCGGGUGAUGAUCAUUGGCAUGCACUAGAAAGGGUCUUGCGCUAUCUGCGAGGUACUAUGAGUUACGGAAUUACUUAUUCAGGGCAUCCUGCUGUGCUAGAAGGAUAUAGUGAUUCAAAUUGGAUCUCCGAUGUUGAUGUACUUUACGCAACAAGUGGGUAUGUAUUUACUCAUGGUGGUGGCGCAGUGUCAUGGAGGUCUUGCAAGCAAACCAUAUUGACGAGGUCAACUAUGGAAGCAGAAUUAACUGCUUUGGACACAGCUACUGUUGAGGCAGAAUGGCUGCGUGAGCUCUUGAUGGACUUGCCGGUUGUUGAAAAACCUGUACCGGCUAUUCUUAUGAAUUGUCAUAACCAAACGGUUAUCGCUAAAGUGAACAAUUCUAAAGAUAAUGCAAAGUCAUCAAGACACGUGAAAAGACGUUUGAAGUCUGUCAGGAAGUUGAGAAACUCCGGAGUAAUAACUGUUACGUAUAUACAAACAGACAAAAACCUGGCAGAUCCCUUUACAAAGGGACUAUCACGAAAUGUGAUAGAUAUUGCAUCGAGGGAGAUGGGUAUGAGACCCAUA
rnacentral:rRNA from 1 species